GGAUUUAUUGGGCGUAAAGGGAGCGCAGGCGNUCAGGAAAGUCUGGAGUAAAAGGNUAUGGCUCAACCAUAGUGUGCUCUGGAAACUGUNUGACUUGAGUGCAGAAGGGGAGAGNGGAAUUCCAUGUGUAGCGGUGAAAUGCGUAGAUAUAUGGAGGAACACCAGUGGCGAAAGCGGCUCUCUGGUCUGUCACUGACGCUGAGGCUCGAAGGCGUGGGUAGCGAACAGGAUUAGAUACCCUGGUAGUNCACGCCGUAACGAUGAGUGCUAGGUGUUAGGCCCUUUCCGGGGCUUAGUGCCGGAGCUAACGCAAUAAGCACUCCGCCUGGGGAGUACGACCGCAAGGUUGAAACUCAAAGGAAUUGACGGGGGCCCGCACAAGCGGUGGAGCAUGUGGUUUAAUUCGAAGCAACGCGAAGAACCUUACCAGGUCUUGACAUCCCGAUGCUAUUCUUAGAGAUAGGAAGUUACUUCGGUACAUCGGAGACAGGUGGUGCAUGGUUGUCGUCAGCUCGUGUCGUGAGAUGUUGGGUUAAGUCCCGCAACGAGCGCAACCCUUAUUGUUAGUUGCCAUCAUUAAGUUGGGCACUCUAGCGAGACUGCCGGUAAUAAACCGGAGGAAGGUGGGGAUGACGUCAAAUCAUCAUGCCCCUUAUGACCUGGGCUACACACGUGCUACAAUGGUCGGUACAACGAGUUGCGAGCCGGUGACGGCAAGCUAAUCUCUGAAAGCCGAUCUCAGUUCGGAUUGGAGGCUGCAACUCGCCUCCAUGAAGUCGGAAUCGCUAGUAAUCGCGGAUCAGCACGCCGCGGUGAAUACGUUCCCGGGCCUUGUACACACCGCCCGUCACACCACGAGAGUUUGUAACACCCGAAGUCGGUGAGGUAACCUUUUAGGG
rnacentral:rRNA from 1 species